rnacentral:rRNA from 1 species
ACGGGUGAGUAACGCGUAGGUGACGUACCUAUUAGUGGGGGACAACACCGGGAAACCGGUGCUAAUACCGCAUAUUCUGAGUGAAAUUGGAAAAACUCAGCAAAGGGGCUUCGGUCUCGCUAAUAGAUUGGCCUGCGUAGCAUUAGCUUGAUGGUGGGGUAAUGGCCUACCAUGGCUUCGAUGCUUAACUGGUCUGAGAGGAUGAUCAGUCACACUGGAACUGAGACACGGUCCAGACUCC